CAGGCACUUAACAGUCUAUUAGGAGCAAUACCCAUUACAUUUGACGAGGCAUUGUAAAAGGUGUCGCUUAUGCCUGAUAUGAAAACAUUUGACUAUACAUAUAAUACCAACACAGACAUGUAUUUAAAAAAAAUGGUAAAUUAAAGUAGGUAUCUUUUCUAUUUGAAAAUAAGAAAGCAGUACAAAAUCCAUUCCCAAAUUCAUCUCUUACUAAUACUGUCAUAAGUUCAAAGUCAUAGGAAUUGAGCCCAUGAGUUCCAUCGAUUGCGAUAAAGGAUUUACCAAACUUUUGGCACAGUAUUAAGGAACAUAAGACAAAAAUCAUAAAUGUUAAAUUCAUAAUGAAUAUCCAUUAGUAUGCCCUGUUGUUUGUAAAAUAAUAUUGGACAUGAGUCUGUAAG